GAGUAGGUAAUGAAGUUGACAUCAGGAUAUAUGCUCUUCAAUGAUCAAGGAAUGGCCACAUAGAUUUUUUCUUUCAUUUCCUCUAUGAACUGGAAAUUCAUAGGCAUGUCUCCAAGACUUCUUCGUUAAUUAUGUCCCAUAAACAACCCGAAACCCCACGGCAUUUCACAAUCAUCUUCUUCCCUGACCUCAUCAUUCUUGAUUUCUGUUGCUUCAUUACUAGGCCUCGAACAUUUGGUUGGUAAUGGAGACCCGCAAAGUCAUAUAUAUAUAUAUAUAUAUAGAUGGAUCAUUGAAGGUUUGGAAUUGGUUGGUUGAUGGAAUUGGUCCUGAUAAGUUAUUGGAGGACUAAUUCAGGUGAUUCAAGAAAGUCAUGGAAGACAUGCUUGGAGGAAUAAGGCCUGAAAGAUGAUUGUUUGAGAGAUCAACAGUUUCUGACAGAUGUAGGCUUCCAAUCUUGUCAGGAAUCUUUCCAGUCAAUUGAUCCCGAGAUAAAUUCGAAGUACCCAAGCAUGUGAGCUUAGUGGGAUGUCUCCCUUUAAAUUAUUUCAUGUCUUUGCAGUAAGGAUUUCAUGUUCCUGUUGUGUGUGGACGGAUAAUAAGAAAGAAAUGUCAAAUAAUGAGCGAGCAUUAUCUAUAUCAGUUCAUUAGAUGCUAGGAGCUCUCUAUCUUCUACUCCUAUCUAGUUAAAGUGAUGUUUUUCAGCUUUCACAAUUCAUCUAACUGUUUUUUUUUUUUUAUGUAUGAUUUACUUGUCAUCAUUUUUCGUGUCUGACAAAGUCAUACAGUUGGCCAUUUUCCUUGCAGCUAUAAUAAUUUUAUUUCAUAUUGGCCAGCUGAGCUGUAUACGGCUGUUCCAGGCUGACCAUUCUUUCCUAGGGGAUUUUCAUGGAAUGAAGGUUUUCAUCAACUGUCGAUCUGGUCAGGUCUAAUUUCCAGUUACAUUAUGGAGUUACUAUAUGUGCUGUUGUCAGGCUAACCAAACAUGUUUUUGCAGGCAUGAGCAGGCGUUGGGAUAUCCGAAUAUGUGUGGAUAUUUUUGGCCACUGGUUAGAUUUAAUGAACAUUGAUGGACGGAUUCCACGUGAGCAAAUUUUGGGUUCUGAAGCUCUAAGGUAUUGUGAAUGUAUUGUUCAUGUUUUUUAAUUGAAUUUUAACCUUAGAGCUUGGCUGGCUUCUUGAAAAAAAUCUUAAAAUUAUUUGCCAGAUUCAUCCUUGAAGAAAUUCUGCAGUGUCUUUUCUGCUGUAAUUGCAACAAGGUUCCAGAGGAAUUUGUUGUUCAGCGCCGAACCAAUGGAAAUCCCCCCACCCUAUUUUUGUGGGAGAGAGAUGACCAGCUACUGUUGGCACGGGAGACAUGAUAAAGCAACUCCUGACCUUGCAAUCCUUCACAAAAGCAUCAAUCACAUUACACUAAACAAGCACAUGGUUGAACUACAAACUAUUCUUAACAAUCCACGAGAUAAAGAGCCCUAUUAGGGAAACUCCUUCAGGCCCUAGCUCCCAUGGGAGUGAGCUUUACCGUCUGUUGAUCAAUUGAAUCCCCCUCGACGAUUGAGUGGCAGCUGACAUGAUUCAUUUGGUGAUGACACCAUCACUCCCGAUGCUGAUUUCACAAACAGCCCCCCUAGCAAAUUUAAGCCAUCAAGGAUUGAUGAGGAGGGGAUAGCGAAGAUGUAGGGGGAGAAUUUGAGUAUGGUUUAUGACAACUCUUGUCAGAGUUGAAUUAAUCACAGAUCACUCGCUAACUGAACCAGUGACAAAAUUGCAGCUUGUCAAGGAAUUAAUCAGCAAGUGCUCCUUGUA